GCCCUCUCCCAGGAGGUAGAUUUGAUCAGAGAGCAGGUGCAGCAGCUCAUCUCUCUGCCUAUGUGGAUGGGCCUCCUACCAUCCAGACUCCAACACGAGCUUAAGAAAGUCCCAAAGCUGCAGAAAUUCUGGAAUCUAAUCAAGAAGAAAUCUGAUAAGAUGGAGGCUGACGAAGCUGAACAGGCACAGAAAGAGAGGGCAUUCCUCUCAGCUCUCAUUAAAAAGUUUCUUGGAGUUCUCGUGUCCAUCCCACCAUCAGG